rnacentral:sRNA from 1 species
UAGCAAGCCCUCCCUCAGAGGCCAAGGGAGCAGAAGAGCCAUGGAUGGGCCCCUUCCCAGGACAGCAGGGGUAGAAGUGGGAAAGGUGAGCAUUUGUGACUAUUCUAUUACUCUGACCUCCCAGGACUGGACCUACAGAGACAUCUGGGAUUUUCUGCGUCAGCUGUUUGUCCCAUACUGUAUCCUGUAUGACCGAGGAUACACAUCACUGGGGAGUCGGGAGAAUACCGUGCGGAACCCGGCCCUGAAGUGCCUGAGCCCAGGAGGACACCCCACAUACCGUCCAGCCUAUCUACUGGAGAAUGAAGAAGAGGAGCGGAACUCCCGCACAUGACCUCCCACCCUAGGAGGGAGGGAAGGACACUAUCCUAGGGUAUAAGCUGGCAAUAAACCGUGCCUCUCACUGUG